rnacentral:rRNA from 1 species
UACGUAGGGGCCGAGCGUUGUCCGGAGUUACUGGGCGUAAAGCGCGCGCAGGCGGCUCGUCAAGCCUGACGUGAAAGCCCCCGGCUCAACCGGGGAGGGUCGUCGGGGACUGGCGGGCUUGAGGUCGGCAGGGGUUGGUGGAAUUCCCGGUGUAGUGGUGAAAUGCGUAGAGAUCGGGAGGAACACCCGUGGCGAAGGCGGCCAACUGGGCCGGUACUGACGCUGAGACGCGAAAGCGUGGGGAGCGAACAGG